rnacentral:ncRNA from 1 species
UUGAGCCGUGGUGCAGUGAAAGCUGCUCGCCCGGUUCUGAGGGGGCUUCGGCGCAGAAAUGCGCCGGGGCUACCCGAC